UACGUAGGGGGCAAGCGUUAUCCGGAUUUACUGGGUGUAAAGGGUGCGUAGGUGGCAGGGCAAGUCAGAUGUGAAAGCCCGGGGCCCAACCCCGGUACUGCAUUUGAAACUGUCCGGCUGGAGUGCAGGAGAGGUAAGCGGAAUUCCUAGUGUAGCGGUGAAAUGCGUAGAUAUAUGGAAGAACACCAGUGGCGAAAGCGGCUCUCUGGUCUGUAACUGACGCUGAGGUUCGAAAGCGUGGGUAGCAAACAGG
rnacentral:rRNA from 1 species